UGUUGCAGUUAAAAAGCUCGUAGUUGAACUUCAGACCUGGCUGGGCGGUCUGCCUAACGGUAUGUACUGUCCGGCUGGGUCUUACCUCUUGGUGAGCCGGCAUGCCCUUCACUGGGUGUGUCGGGGAACCAGGACUUUUACCUUGAGAAAAUUAGAGUGUUCAAAGCAGGCUUAUGCCCGAAUACAUUAGCAUGGAAUAAUAAAAUAGGACGUGCGGUUCUAUUUAGUUGGUUUCUAGAGUCGCCGUAAUGAUUAAUAGGGAUAGUUGGGGGCAUUAGUAUUCCGUUGCUAGAGGUGAAAUUCUUGGAUUUACGGAAGACUAACUAUUGCGAAAGCAUUUGCCACCGAUGUUUUCAUUAAUCAAGAACGAAGGUUAGGGGAUCGAAAACGAUCAGAUACCGUUGUAGUCUUAACAGUAAACUAUGCCGAC
rnacentral:rRNA from 1 species